rnacentral:rRNA from 1 species
CCUACGGGCGGCAGCAGUGAGGAAUAUUGGUCAAUGGGCGCGAGCCUGAACCCGCCCAGUAGCGUGAAGGAUGACUGCCCUACGGGUUGUAAACUUCUUUUAUAACGGAAUAAAGUGAGGCACGUGUGCCUUUUUGUAUGUCCUUUAUGAAUAAGGAUCGGCUAACUCCGUGCCAGCAGCCGCGGUAAGACGGAGGAUCCGAGCGUUCUCCGGAUUUAUUGGGUUUAAAGGGAGCGUAGAUGGGUUGUUAAGUCAGUUGUGAAAGUUUGCGGCUCAACCGUAAAAUUGCAAUUGAUACUGGCAGCCUUGAGUACAGUUGAGGGAGGCGGAAUUCGUGGGUGAGCGGUGAAAUGCUUAGAGAUCACGAAGAACUCCGAUUGCGAAGGCAGCUUACUAAACUGCCACUGACAUUGAUGCUCGAAAGUGUGGGUAUCAAACAGGAUUAGAUACCCGAGUAGUC